rnacentral:rRNA from 1 species
UGAGGAAUAUUGGUCAAUGGCCGGGAGGCUGAACCAGCCAAGUCGCGUGAGGGAUGACGGUCCUAUGGAUUGUAAACCUCUUUGUCGGGAGCAAAAGGCAUCACGUGUGAUGCUCCGAGAGUACCCGAAGAAAAAGCAUCGGCUAACUCCGUGCC